AAAGUCGUAACAAGGUCUCCGUAGGUGAACCUGCGGAGGGAUCAUCAAAGAAAAAAAAACAAUAUUCUAAACCCCAAGUGUUAGGGAAAAAGAGAGAUAGGGGGAGGAGGGGAAAAGGGUUAUUAUGCUCUUUUUUUUCUCCUUCUUCCUUCUUUUUUUUUCUCUAAUGCUUCAAACAAACGAUCACAACUAAAGAGAGAGAGAAGGAAAGGAUACCUGUGUUUUUUUUCCGAGGGGAAUAUAUUAAAAGUGCUUGCCUGAUAAUCUGAUUAUUGGAAUUGGAAAGAGAAAAAAAUAUACAACUUUCAACAACGGAUCUCUUGGCUCUC
rnacentral:misc_RNA from 1 species